GCCAGCAGCCGCGGUAAUACGAAGGGGGCUAGCGUUGCUCGGAAUUACUGGGCGUAAAGGGCGCGUAGGCGGAUCGUUAAGUCAGGGGUGAAAUCCCGGGGCUCAACCUCGGAAUUGCCCUUGAUACUGGCGAUCUUGAGUAUGAGAGAGGUAUGUGGAACUCCGAGUGUAGAGGUGAAAUUCGUAGAUAUUCGGAAGAACACCAGUGGCGAAGGCGACAUACUGGCUCAUUACUGACGCUGAGGCGCGAAAGCGUGGGAGC
rnacentral:rRNA from 1 species